UACGUAGGGGGCAAGCGUUGUCCGGAAUCAUUGGGCGUAAAGAGCGCGUAGGCGGCCCGGUAAGUCCGCUGUGAAAGUCAAGGGCUUAACCCUUGAAUGCCGGUGGAAACUGUCGGGCUAGAGUCCGGAAGAGGCGAGUGGAAUUCCUGGUGUAGCGGUGGAAUGCGCAGAUAUCAGGAGGAACACCAAUAGCGAAGGCAGCUCGCUGGGACGUUACUGACACUGAGGCGCGAAAGCGUGGGGAGCGAACAGG
rnacentral:rRNA from 1 species